CGGAGGGUGCAAGCGUUAUCCGGAUUCACUGGGUUUAAAGGGUGCGUAGGUGGGCAAGUAAGUCAGUGGUGAAAUCUCCGGGCUUAACCCGGAAACUGCCAUUGAUACUAUUUGUCUUGAAUACUGUGGAGGUCAGCGGAAUAUGUCAUGCAGCGGUGAAAUGCUUAGAUAUGACAUAGAACACCAAUUGCGAAGGCAGCUGGCUACACAAAUAUUGACACUGAGGCACGAAAGCGUGGGGAUCAAACAGGAUUAGAUACCCUGGUAGUCCACGCCCUAAACUAUGGAUACUCGACAUUUGCGAUAAACUGCAAGUGUCUGAGCGAAAGCAUUAAGUAUCCCACCUGGGAAGUACGAUCGCAAGAUUG
rnacentral:rRNA from 1 species